rnacentral:lncRNA from 1 species
GAAAUAGAAAAGAAAAAUUGCCUUUGAUAAGGAUCCUGAUUCUUUUACAUUAAAACUGGACGCUGUUGUGACUUAGUGGGAUGGGAAUAAACGAAAGUUCUUCGAAAGCGCGAAAUUAAAAAAUAUUUAAUUUCGCGCUUCAUCCGGCAACACUGUACAUGUCGAACGUUGUCAAGUUUCACCAAUAAUUAACUCUCUGGCAACGCUGUUGCAUGACCUACAAGUUGGAGGGGUAAUAUACACUAUUGCAUAAACAACAAAUUGAAGGGGUAACAAACACUAUUGCAUAACCGCAGAUUAAAGGGACAAUAUGUAAUACUCAAUAUGCAUAACCCGAAAAAUGAAGGGGCAACCUACAAUACUUGUUACACCGUUGCCACAUUGUCCAAUGUCUACCAACAACACUAUAAUUAAUUCUAAUUAUUGUUAUUGCACAAUUUGGCUAUAAACUCUCAUUCUAAAAUCGUCAGUGCCCUACUACGGAGCUGAGAUUUUAUGCCGAUUUGUGUCCAUUUUUCCACCUACAUGGAACGGCGCUUAUCAUAUUUUCAAUUUUCAUCUGUUGUACCCUAAUUGAAGUAAAGUUGUCUUCUUAAUGUUUCAGAAUUAUAUACCUUGUCUACAGGGCUGGCCAGUGGGGGGCGGGGUGUGCAGAUCGCGUUUUGAAUGUGGUCGAACAAAGCGGUUGCUUAAACGUAAGUAAUACUUUUCUCACUCGUCUCUACUUCUUACCGAACCGCUCUCUUCCUUCUGUCUUACAGAAUUAUAAACCUGUCUACAGGGCUGGACAGUGGGGGGCGGGAUUUGCUGAUCGAGUUUUGAAUGUGGUCGAACAAAGCGGUUGCUUAAACGUAAGUCAUACUUUUCUCACUCGUCUCUACUUCUUACCGAACCGCUCUCUUCCUUCUGUCUUACAGAAUUAUAAACCUUGUCUACAGGGGUGGCCAGUGGGAGGCGGGGUAUGCAGAUCGAGUUUUGAAUGUGGUCGAACAAAGCGGUUGCUUAAACGUAAGUAAUACUUUUCUCACUCGUCUCUACUUCCUACCGAACCGCUCUCUUCCUUCUGUCUUACAGUGGCGUGGCGUGUUUUGCGAUGUAUCAAUUGUAUAGAUCGUCCAGCCCACCUUCAAACUAGGGGCUUCAAAGAGGCUCAUCGAUGGAACUGUUGACUGUUGCCUUUCUAAGGUCGUCGGCCCGACGAUCUUUGAAGGUAACCGAUGUGUUCGAGAUACAUCACCGAUCAGAUCUUGAAAUUUUCAAGGAAUUCCGUGCUGAAAUGGCUGAGAAAUAGAAGAAUUGGUGCCAGUUUGAAAGUGGGCUGCACGCUUAUGGAACGCCGUCCGUCCAUUUAAUAAAUAUAUAUUUUUCUUCAUUUAUAAAUUUUGUUUUUCAUACAUAUAUAUUCUUUUUUUUUUUUUUUUUUUUUUUUUAAAAAAAAUUAUUUUCGUAUAUGCUCACAUUUUCAAAAUUCUCUGUAAAGACGUUUAUAGCCUGAGCACCUCUAAUGGCUUACAAUUAGUCCAUAUUGGUGACCCUCGACUCCGGGGUUACCUACCGUGUGUGCGCAAGUUUAAGGAAAGUUACGUUUAGUAUCCAACAAAUAAGAAAAAACGGCUAUGGUACACUUGUCCGUUCUUCAUUUAUUUUCAAGGAACGUGAGGAAACCAGGGCAUGAAUGGAGGUAACAUAUGUCAUGAUCCAUCAAAACUUUGAAGGGUCAUUUCAUGGGUGACACGCACCUAGAAACUUGGCGUUACGAACCAUCCAUUAGUUAUGAUUUAAAACUCACGCGAUCUCCGAUCUCCCACGUGGCGUUCUUAAAAACUUUCUCAAAUGUGAUGAGGUGCUCUGGACUUUCUUCGCGAGUGAUGGCAAUUUUUGGUACACUACGGUAGUGCAAUAUAAAUUUCUGUGAUGGAAGCUGAAUUGAAAGAACCUGAGUUAAGUUUCCUACUGAUCCCCUAUCUUCUCUUCUGUCUGAAGACUCAAGAGCAGCUCUCAUCCGAACAAGAUUUUAAUUCUAUCUCUCUUUUUUUCUUCUGAAAAGUUGCAGGGCCCAAAUAAGCGACUUUAUUUAGCAAUUUUUCGCAUUGGGUAGGUCUGGAAAAGUCGCCGGGCCAAAAUAAGCGACUUUAUUUCGCAAUUUUAUUCAACGGUUGGUCUAAUCACACAUUAUCCACCGCCAAAAAUUAAGUUAUUUUUAACGCAUUUCAAAGUUAAGAUUUGGUCUAUUCACAAAAACUCCACCGCCAAUCGAAAUGGAGUUAUUUUUAACGCAUCAGGAAAUUUUCAAAGAAGCGGAGGUCCGCUGAAAGUGGACAACCAUCAGAAAUCCCCCCCCCCCCCCCCCAAAGCCAGGAAAGGUUC